GUUUCAUCUUUUUAACCAAACAGCCCUAAAACAAACGCUCAUCUCCUCUCUCUCUUCAACUAUCGCCGCCACCCCGUCACUUCCGUCACGUCACCUCACCACCACCGCUUUCAGCGGACCACCGAACCAAACACCCCACUCUCUCUUCAAUCGAAAACCCUUAAGUUUGUUGGUUUGAAGCAAUAUCCGCCUCCACUGCUACCACGUCUUCUUUCCCUUUGAUUGACGUGGUGGCAGAGCCGAAAGGAGACAAUAGGAGAUCAUAUCAACCUCUGUGGAAGAGGAGUGCAAUGAACCGCCGGUUUCAAGCUCGACUCUUUUUCGACUCGGUGGGUAAAGGCUCGUUCAGCCAUCAGACCCGCUAAUCCACUAAAUUCGUAGCUUUCAAAUCCAUCUGAAAGCUCUCAGCUAAGCAAAAACUACUUUGAGCGGACUCGAAAACUCGACGACGACAAUAGCCUCAGUUCGCUGUCCCGAAGAAGAGUUCCAGGUAGGAUCGACCUCUGCUUCUCGUGGCUGAUAGUGGAUCCAGAGUUGCGGAUUAGUGUCUUAUAGGAUGGUGAGGAGUCGAGCUACGAUAGCCCGAGACCAAGUGCCAGAGACCGCAGCUACGACUGGCACCAGAGGGUAACUGACUAGAGGGCACAGGGCUUCCCCAGUCAGCUCAGGGCUCCUACGGUAGGGCAGCGGCACGUGAGAUCUCCGUCCCCAGAGCCUAAGGGUCAACAGGCUCGAGACCAGGCCGUCGAGGAUGAUGUGGCCCUAGUACGGACACAACCCGAGAUCACAUCAGAGCAAACUAUGCAGGAUACUAUAGCCCGUGUUCUACUCCACCUAGAUGCCCAGCAAGCGGCCGCUGGUGUUACUGUUCCAGGCGGAAGUUCGCAGACUAGAGUUGGGUGCAGAAUGAUACGCUCAAAUUACACCUUUUAUUAGCGUAAAGCAGACGAUGUCAAAUAUAUUAACCCAACAAGGUUGGGGUCGAAUCCCACAGGGAAUAUGGUGUGAAACGGUUACUAAAAUCGUAGAAUGCUUUAUUUAGGUCUAAUGUCUUACUCCGAUGAAUUUGUAGAAAGUUGAUUGUUUAUGACUAAUUGCUAAAUAAUUUCUUUGGAUUGUAAUAUAUGGUAAAAGAAAUUAAGAUUG